rnacentral:rRNA from 1 species
GGAUUCCCCUAGUAACUGCGAGUGAAGCGGGAAAAGCUCAAAUUUAAAAUCUGGUAGUCUAUGGCUGCCCGAGUUGUAAUCUAGAGAAGCAUUAUCCGCGCUGGACCGUGUACAAGUCUCCUGGAACGGAGCGUCAUAGAGGGUGAGAAUCCCGUCUUUGACACGGACUACCAGGGCUUUGUGAUGUGCUCUCAAAGAGUCGAGUUGUUUGGGAAUGCAGCUCUAAAUGGGUGGUAAAUUCCAUCUAAAGCUAAAUAUUGGCGAGAGACCGAUAGCGAACAAGUACCGUGAGGGAAAGAUGAAAAGAACUUUGAAAAGAGAGUUAAACAGUACGUGAAAUUGUUGAAAGGGAAACGCUUGAAGUCAGUCGCGUCUAUUGGGGAUCAGCCUUGCUCUUUUGCGUGGUGUAUUUCCUGAUGGACGGGUCAGCAUCAAUUUUGACCAGUGGAAAAAGACUAAGGGAAUGUGGCAUCUUCGGAUGUGUUAUAGCCCUUGGUUGUAUACAUUGGUUGGGAUUGAGGAACUCAGCACGCCGCAAGGCCGGGUCUUUGACCACGUUCGUGCUUAGGAUGCUGGCAUAAUGGCUUUAAUCGACCCGUCUUGAAACACGGACCAAGGAGUCUAACAUGCCUGCGAGUGUUUGGGUGGAAAACCCAUGCGCGUAAUGAAAGUGAAAGUUGAGAUCCCUGUCGUGGGGAGCAUCGACGCCCGGACCAGACCUUCUGUGACGGAUCCGCGGUAGAGCAUGUAUGUUGGGACCCGAAAGAUGGUGAACUAUGCCUGAAUAGGGUGAAGCCAGAGGAAACUCUGGUGGAGGCUCGUAGCGAUUCUGACGUGCAAAUCGAUCGUCAAAUUUGGGUAUAGGGGCGAAAGACUAAUCGAACC